CCUGGUAGCUCAGUUGGUAAAAGAAUCUGCCUGCAAUGCAGGAGACCCUGGUUCAAGUCCUGGGUCAGGA
rnacentral:tRNA from 1 species